CCUACGGGUGACAGCAGUGAGGAAUAUUGGUCAAUGGACGAGAGUCUGAACCAGCCAAGUAGCGUGAAGGAUGACUGCCCUAUGGGUUGUAAACUUCUUUUAUAUGGGAAUAAAAUGUUCCACGUGUGGGAUUUUGUAUGUACCAUAUGAAUAAGGAUCGGCUAACUCCGUGCCAGCAGCCGCGGUACUACGGAGGAUCCGAGCGUUAUCCGGCUUUAUUGGGUUUAAAGGGAGCGUAGGUGGAUUGUUAAGUCAGUUGGGAAAGUUUGCGGCUCAACCGUAAAAUUGCAGUUGAAACUGGCAGUCUUGAGUACAGUAGAGGUGGGCGGAAUUCGUGGUGUAGCGGUGAAAUGCUUAGAUAUCACGAAGAACUCCGAUUGCGAAGGCAGCUCACUGGACUGCAACUGACACUGAGGCUCGAAAGUGUGGGUAUCAAACAGGAUUAGAUACCCGUGUAGUC
rnacentral:rRNA from 1 species